AUGUGCCUAGAAGGGAUGGAGAUUCCAAAGAGGUCAAUUCAACUUAGUCUAAGGAAUCAGCUUUGGUUUUGUUUUUCCUUUGAGAGAGUCUCAUUCCGUCACCUGGGAUGGAGUACAGUGGCGCAAUCUCAACUCACUGCAACCUCUGCCUCCAGGGCUCAAGAGAUUCUUGUGGCUCAUCCUUCCGAAUAACCGGGAUUACAGGCCUGCACUAGCAUGCCCAGCUGAUAUUUUGCAUUUUUAGCAGAGACAGGUUUUGCCAUUUUGGCCAGGCUGAUCUCAAACUCCUGGCCUCACGUGAUCUGCCCACCUGGGCCUCCCAAAGUGCUGGGAUUAUAGGCAUGAACCACCGCAGCUGGUCCCUAAACUUUUGAAGAUGAAUAUCCUCCCAUAAACCAGGACAUGUCAACUGUAACUUUAGGACUGUAACCUCAGUCUAACUCCUUGUCUGUUACUGAUGUUAAAUGUCACAUUGACAAGUCCAUUAUAAGCUUAUCUUCCCUUGUGCCAAAGACAGGAUGAGAUCAAUCCUUCCUCUCCUACCCUGAGAUAUCUCCCUAAUUAAUUCUUCCUUUACUCCCUCUUUUGAAUGUUUACCUUAUGUUCUAUAUAUAAUAGAUGUACUGGGCACUAAUUAAAAUCUCUUAAGAAAGUAGCUAACUGCCUCAAGGCCUACUGCACUUUUUCCUGCACGUUUUUUCCCCUUUUAAAAAUCCACACCGAGACAAUGGAUCACACAGCAAGGCUAGUUUGCUUCCUGCAGGGAGGGUGCAACUCGCCAGCAGUCUUGCCAUGAGGGCACAAAUGAACAAAGGAGACAGGGACAUUUAUAACUUUCAUAACCUGACACAAUUGCCCUACUGCUGUGUCCAGUUUCCAUUGGCCAGAAUGAAAGCUCACAUUCUAUGCUUGACUCAAUUGGCUAAAAACUUGGACAUUUCCUGAAUAGAUAAGGGGGAAAGAAGACAAGGAAAAAGAGGAAGCUAGUUAGGAGAAGGUCAGGAGGGUUUCCAAAUAAGGAAUGGCAUGCACAAGGGUUCGGAGCUUGUCCAGUUAUGUUCAGACAUGCCGGAGAGAGUCAAGGUAGCUGAUUUAAGAUGUAGCUGAUUUGGAGAAUAUAUAUACAUGGGUGUAUAUUUAUGCUAAUAGUGGGUAGUGCCCAUAGAGUGC
rnacentral:lncRNA from 13 species